rnacentral:misc_RNA from 1 species
CUCGAGAAUCCUGCUCCUCCGAGCAGUGCCCUUCCCACUCUGCUCCGUCGCCGAUCUCUUCUCUUCCGCCUUCUUCCUCUGGCGCCUCGUCGCCGCCACCUCCGCCGAGCCCACCGGUGCGACGGCGUCAGGCGAGCACGAGCACACCAGGCCAGCUCCCAGCAGCCCCAGGGCAAGCUUCUUGUCCGCGGGCCUGCGCUGCUCGAACCUCGCGCUCCUCGACGCGGGCGCGCGCGGGCGCGGCGCGUACACCUCGGGAGCGCCGACGACGCCGAGGCGUAUGACGCCCCACGCGACCGGCGGCGCGGACCCCGUGCUGCGGCGCGGCGGCGCGGGCGCGGCCGUCCGGCUUCGGCGCUGCGGCGACGGGCUCGGGUGCGCGUAGAACACGCUGCCCGAUGGCGAGCGCCGCGGCGGGACCGGGACCGGGACGGCGGAGGACGCGCUCUUGCCGGACGACGAGCUGCCGCUGCCGGCCGGGCCGGCGUGGUCCGAGCGCGCGCUGUUAGACGACGUGCUCCGGCUGACGCAGCAGCUGCUGCUGCUGCUGCCGCGGCUGACGGAGCGGGAGCUGAAGCCGCUGCUGGUGGUCGUGGACGCGGACGCGGACGCCGUCGCGGCGCCGUCCAGCGAGUCCGAGCGCAGCAGCAGCAGUGCGGCCGCGUCGGCCGAGGAGAGGCGGAGCGGGAGGAGCUUGCCGCCGUAGAAGACCUCGUCGGCCACGCACAUGCCGGGCGCGUCGUCCCCGACCGGCGCGAGACCGCCGGACGAGAGUAUGCAGAACUCGAAGUCGUCGUCGGGCGCCAGACGAUCUUCGGCGCCGAUGUGGGUGCGGGCGUCGCCGGCGCCUUGCCGGCACGCCAUGGAUGGUUUCUUGCUGUCUUGGUUUGGAGGGGGAAGGGAGCCAGAGACGGGGUGGGCUUGAGCUUGCUUGUGCAUUUCGGUUUCUUGCCCGGGCAAAGCGAGAGCGAGAGAAAGAGAGACGAUCGAGGGCGG